UACGUAGGGGGCAAGCGUUGUCCGGAAUCAUUGGGCGUAAAGAGCGUGUAGGCGGCCAGAAAAGUCCGCUGUGAAAACUCGAGGCUCAACUUCGAGCUGUCGGUGGAAACUUUCUGGCUAGAGUCCGGAAGAGGAGAAUGGAAUUCCUGGUGUAGCGGUGAAAUGCGCAGAUAUCAGGAAGAACACCCGUGGCGAAGGCAGCUCGCUGGGACGGUACUGACGCUGAGACGCGAAAGCGUGGGGAGCAAACAGG
rnacentral:rRNA from 1 species